AAUUCUGAUUGGGAAAUAAUACAGAGGAAUUUAGAAUUCCUUCAACAGGUGCCUUCAAAAUUAACAAUGAAUGUUAUUUGAAAACCAGAGGAGGCUGGUGGGAAGAGCUAUAGGAGAACGGGCUCAUUCUAAUGGUUGGAAUGGAACCUGCAUUGCGUGCUGUUUGGGGUUUUAGGCUGGGUUUCUGUACAGCACUUUGAGAUAUUAGCUGAUGUACGAAGGGCUAUAUAAAUACAUUUGAUUUGAAUCAAUGGAACAGUAUCAAACAUACGGAAACCACGUUUCACUCCAUUCUAUUGCCAUUCCAGCCAUUACAAUGAGGCUGUCCUCCUAUAGCUCCUCCCACGAGCCUCAAUUGUUGACCUAAUUUGAAACAUUACUCCACUAAAUCAUGGGGGGGGGGGGAACAAAAUAGCAUCAGGGGACAUUAAGCAAUCAAAUAGCAACCAAAAAAAAUAGCAUGGUGUGUGUGAUUGUAUGCAUGGGUGUGGAAAGAAAGAUCAUAGAUGAUAGUUAUGGUUGUAGUUGGUAUGGGGCAGCACUGGUAUGGGGCAACCCAGGACAGUACUGGCCCUGUCCUGUCAUUAGUGCUCUGCCUGUGUGCUCUGCUGAGAGAUGAGCUUUCAGAGGCACCAUCAACAAAUAUCCCUUGUUAAAAUACGUACAAAAUUUGCAGGAGACACGAUGGUGUAGGUUCUGCUUUAGAAGAGAAUGCCCUGGAUUCUCCAUGUUUAUAGUCAUGGCAAGCUUUAUAUAAUAGCUAUUAACAAUUGAAAGCUGUGAAUUUUUCUCCAUCCUCCCGAUUCAGAAUAUAUCAUUUUCAUAGUCAUGGCACACUUUGUUUAAGCUAUUGAAGAUUAAAAUCAUGAAUCAUUUUAUUUUAAUGAAAAAAAUGUUUUAUUGUUCCCCCCGAUUCAGAAUAGACCAUAUUCAUAGUCAUGGUUGCUUGGUUCAGUAGCUAUUGAUGACAGGAAAUUGAAUAUCCAUUAUAAAACAAAUUUUACCUUGGUGUCACAAUAUUUCAUAAUUAUUCAUAUUGAACCAAAACACUUGUUUUCUUGUGCAUCAAUGCAUUCAAACAACAACCUAGCCUGACUAUUUGGGUAUCAGUCAACACCCUCCUUAAUCAGAACAACCCAGCUGUAAAAGCAAGCAAUACCCUCUUAUCUGUAACACUUUAAUCACUUUAUUUUCUACUCCACUCAGACAAUGGGAGGUUUGCGGAGUUGGUGCUUAUUCAAGGCACUGUUCCCAGUGAUUAUGAGAGGUGGACUCCUGUGGGAACAGCACAAAGCCCAGAGCGGACACAGCCUUCCACUUCAACCCGCGCUUUAAGAGAUCUCCCUGCAUCAUGUGCAAGAUGAUGCAGAGAGCUGCGGCAAGGGAAGUUAUGCUGCAUGAGCACGCCUUCACACUGGGGUCAACCUUUGAGAUGAUCGUCCUGGUGCAGAAAGAUGAGUUUAAAGUGAGGAUGACUCUUGUGAUCAGAUUCAGAUGCCUCAUUGCCCAUAUUCGUGAAGCGUCUCAGAGUAGCAGUGCUGAUAUAGGAUCAGUUUGAACUUUUCGACCACAAUGAAUAAGAUGACAUCAUGGACUAUGGGGACCUGUUCCUAGAUCAGCACACUAAGACAUUUGUUGCCAAAACCCUUGAUAAAUUGAAAUGUAGAACAUUCAUAAUACUUUUUCACAAAAUGAUAUUACUCCUGUGUGAACUAUGGGCUUUAUUACUUCUGUACAAGUGGAAAAGAAAUACUCAGCACCCGCCACAUCCAUCACCCCAUCCCAAAACAUCUUCCAGCGUCUAUGCAUACGGACCCAGAAUCCCCUGAUCUGUAUAGCCUGUCCUGGAUCAAUAAAAAGCAGACAUUGAAUAUUCCUUUGAGCAUGGUGAAGUUAUUCAUUACAAUUUGGAAGGUGUUUUAAUACACCCAGUCACUACAAAGAUACAGGUGUCCUUCCUAACCCAGUUGAAUGAGAGGAAGGAAACCUCUCAGGGAUUUUACCAUGAGGCCAAAUGUGAUUUUAAACCAGUUUACAGAGUUAAAUGGCUUUAAUAGAAGAAAAUUGAGAAUUAACAACCUUGCAGUUACUCCACAUGUACAGAAUAAAAAUAUUCCAAAACAUGCAUCCUGUUUGCAUUAAGGCACUAAAGUAAAACUGGAAGAAAGGAACUUUUUGUUCUGAAUACAAAGCAUUAUGUUUGGUGCAAAUCCAACACAGCAUAUGACUGAAUACCAAUCUUGCAUUUCCUUGUUUUUGUGUUCCAGGGUUGUAUAUUCAUCAAGCAUGGGGAAAGUGCUUAAUCAGUUUGCCUUCAUGACCUAGUAAUAAUUCAGUAUAAUAUAUUUUUCACUUCCCUUAGUGGUUGAGGUUGACUUCAGGAGGUUUCUUAUGUUGUCUGAGGUAAAAGCCAAAUAUAUCAUGUGGUGGAUGAAUCAGAAUUAGUUGGGUAACAUAAGUCAUUAAGAUGUCAUAUCUGCAUAAUAUUCUUAUGUGAUAUACUUUUUAUUAGAAUGUAUUUCUAAUAGACUCUAGUGUUGGUAGUUGCAUUUCUUCCCUCAGCUGGGGCUCAGUCAUUUGGGGCCCAGAGAGGGGAGAGGUCAGGCUUGUCUUUUACAUGUCUCUGGUGCUAUGCAGAAUAUCAGAAAGGGAAGAGGACAGGAGGGAACAUUGUCUUCAUAUGUGAAUGUAUCUGUUAAACCAUGUGAAGAGAUGGCGUGAUUAAGGGGGAACCAAUUACUUGUCUCCACAAUGUCUGUGCUCCAGUCACUGCCCUCGGUGAGCUUGUCCAAGAGUGGGGUCAAUAGUGAGUUUACUUGAGAUGGGAGUAUCUAGAGUUGACAAUUGAGUUAUGCCAUUGGAUAAGGUCAUGGUUCUGUGCUAUGAAGUACCAGGAACAAGAUUAGAACCUCGUCUUAGGGACCAAACUGAGCGAUAAUUUAUAGAGAAUGCUAUCUGGCUAUGGGAUACUCCUCUCUCUCAAGAAAAAGUAUUUAUUUGUGAACUGUUCCUAAGAUCUGUGGUUCGUCAUGUAGGUUGAGAGGGGUGUAUCUAGGCUGUAACAGAUCUUUGUACUUUUCUGAAGUCACUUUCAAUGGUUCAUUAGAUGGCACAUCAUUGAAAGUCAAAUUGCUAUUGCAAAGCUCUUAUUAAAGAUGUAGUUUAAGUAGAACUCUGACUGGUGUGUGACGUUUAACUCUCCUCGUUUGGUAAAGCAGAAAUAAGCCACCAAUCACGUUGAGGUUGACUUUAGGAGGUUUCUUAUGUUGUCUGAGGUAAAAGCCAAAUAUAUCAGUGUUUAAUUGUGGUCUACCUCAUUCCAGCUCCAAAAGGUUGACAUGUUUUGGAUCUGUAUACAAUGACUGAGGUUCAGGUAAAGACUGUCAACUUUCAUUUGAGGGUAUUUCAUACAUAUCAGGUGAACAGUGUAGAAAUCAAAGCAUUUUUGUGUAUAGUCCACCAAUUUGAGUUAGAUAUGAUAUUUAUGCCUCUAUCAUUAUUACAAUAACAGGGAAGGUUAACAUUUUUUUUUUUGGGGGGGGGGGGUAUAUAUUUGUAAUUGUGGAUACUACAUCUAACUUUCUCCCUCAUUGUUCACGAUUCAUUCAGAACUAUCCGUAAUCCUGGUAGUAUCCACAUUAAUGUAGACAUGUUUAGAAACAGAUAUUCUAAUUUUCAAAAUGACGUAAUACAUUUACCAUUCAUUUCUAUUGGGCACAAAAUAAUCUGAAACACAGCAGCAAAUGCAUCCAACAAGUUUGUAGAGUCACAAUCUUGAUGUAAUCAUUGUGUUCUGGGAAUAUGGGACCAAAUAAGAAGCUUUUGACCACUUUAAUACACAUAAGAGUAAGAGCUCCCGAGUGGCGCAGCAGUCUAAGGCACUGCAUCUCAGUGCAAGAUGCAUCACUACAGGCCCAGAUUUGAAUCCAGGCCAUUUCACAUCCGGCCAUGAUUGGGAGUCCCAUAGGGUGGCACACAAUUGGCCCAGCGUCGUCCAGGUUUGGCCAUCAUUGUAAAUAAGAAUGUAUUUAAAUGAAAUGCCUAAUUAAAUGAAGGUAAAGACUUAAAAAAAAUUGUAAGUAAUUUCUCCUGAUAAUUUUAAAAUCCAAUGCGUCUGUCCUAAUAGUUUGAGCUCACUGUAUAUCAGAUCUGGAAAUAACCACGUAGAUAAAAGUAGGCUCUUCUGUAGCUACCUAGAGUAUUCAUUAGCGAACAAGUACCUUAUUGUGCAAUAUGUGGUAGUUCAAUGUUGGUCUUUCUUCCAUUUGCCUAGCCCUAGUGAAUACGUGCAUAGCACGCAAACUAGCAGUCCUGCGGCUCCUCUUAGGUGUCAGCUUGUUACUUGGUAACCAACAUAUAACGUGUUGAUUACGUUGGCGCAGAGGCUAUGGAAGCCAGAGUAUUCUCCCACUGUUUCCCCAUCUCUCUAGGUGGCAGGGAACGGUGCUCAUAUGCUGCACUAUAAGCACAGACUGGACCUGGAUAAGGUGGACCCACUGGCCAUCUCUGGAAAAGUCAAAAGUUCAGGCCAUCAGCUUCUUCCCCUGCUCUGAGUAACCCAUCCUAACCUCAUUAUACAUCAGAUGUGUAUUAAGAACAAAUUCUUAUUUAUAUUGACGGCCUACAACAGCCAACUGUGUGCUGCCAUGGGACUACCAAUCAAGGCCAGUUGUGAUAGUGUGGAAUCAAACUUAUGGUCUGUAGACACCUCUAGCACUGAGACAGUGCCUUAAACCGCUGCACCACUCGGGAGCCAUCACUAUUAUUGCAGAGUCAGAUUAAUAUAAAUUCACAUGCUUUGUAAACAUGAUUACGGAAAUCGUUCUUGCAUGACACAUCUGAAAUCAGGCUACUUGAUGGCACUGAAAAUCACAUGGUAAACAUCGAAGUAGAACAAAUUCUUAUUUACAAUGAUGGCCUACUGGGGAACAGUGGGUUAAGUGCUUUGCUCAGGGUCAGAACGAGAUGUUUUACCUUGUCAGCUCAGGAAUUCAAUCCAGCACUGGCCCAAAGCUCUAACCAACCACUAGGCUACCUUAGUUAUGUGACAGGUGGGUUCUUGUCUAAAUUCAUAAACAUGUUUUCAGAUCAUUUCCCCAAUGCCCCAUAGACUUUCUUGCCCAAAUGUACAAUGAAAUUCCCAG